AUCCAGCUGACGAGUCCCAAAUGGGACGAAAGGCACGUCAAACUGGAU
rfam:Schistosoma haematobium scaffold750_4, whole genome shotgun sequence.